CCUACGGGGGGCAGCAGUGAGGAAUAUUGGUCAAUGGACGAGAGUCUGAACCAGCCAAGUAGCGUGAAGGAUGACUGCCCUAUGGGUUGUAAACUUCUUUUAUAUGGGAAUAAAAUGUUCCACGUGUGGGAUUUUGUAUGUACCAUAUGAAUAAGGAUCGGCUAACUCCGUGCCAGCAGCCGCGGUAAUACGGAGGAUCCGAGCGUUAUCCGGAUUUAUUGGGUUUAAAGGGAGCGUAGGUGGAUUGUUAAGUCAGUUGUGAAAGUUUGCGGCUCAACCGUAAAAUUGCAGUUGAAACUGGCAGUCUUGAGUACAGUAGAGGUGGGCGGAAUUCGUGGUGUAGCGGUGAAAUGCUUAGAUAUCACGAAGAACUCCGAUUGCGAAGGCAGUUCACUGGACUGCAACUGACACUGAGGAUCGAAAGUGUGGGUAUCAAACAGGAUUAGAUACCCCUGUAGUC
rnacentral:rRNA from 1 species